CUUAGCGUAAAGCACAAAUGCGUAAUCGGGUGCGAAGCUCCAUUUUCUCUCUUCAUUGCUUGCAUCGAUUACGAAUCUCAAGCAUUUCAUCACUUGAUUUCCGCUUUAUGCCUUGACUUGUGAACUGGAAAAAAAAUUAUGGGUCUGGCUUCUGUUAACACUGUAAUUGAGGACAUGCAAAUUUGUAUAUUUGAUUUGAGAAGAGGGCAAGAAGAAGGGCGGGAGCUGGACAAGAUCUUGUUCUUCUUUCCAGCUGAUUCACCCUCCUCAAAACAGCUUUCUGUUAUAGGGCUUGGUGAAGGACUCAUCGC
rnacentral:misc_RNA from 1 species